GACGAACGCUGGCGGCGUGCUUAACACAUGCAAGUCGAACGGAAAGGCCCUGCUUUUGUGGGGUGCUCGAGUGGCGAACGGGUGAGUAACACGUGAGUAACCUGCCCUUGACUUUGGGAUAACUUCAGGAAACUGGGGCUAAUACCGGAUAGGAGCUCCUGCUGCAUGGUGGGGGUUGGAAAGUUUCGGCGGUUGGGGAUGGACUCGCGGCUUAUCAGCUUGUUGGUGGGGUAGUGGCUUACCAAGGCUUUGACGGGUAGCCGGCCUGAGAGGGUGACCGGCCACAUUGGGACUGAGAUGCGGCACGGACUCCUACGGGAGGCAGCAGUGGGGAAAAUUGCACAAUGGGCGGAAGCCUGAUGCAGCAACGCCGCGUGCGGGAUGACGGCCUUCGGGUUGUAAACCGCUUUCGCCUGUGACGAAGCGUGAGUGACGGUAAUGGGUAAAGAAGCACCGGCUAACUACGUG
rnacentral:rRNA from 1 species